rnacentral:lncRNA from 1 species
AAUCAACACCGUGCAGUAUCCGAUUCGCGCGGGGGGCGGGUGCGGGCGCGAUUCGCGUGGGAUUCGCACGGGAUUCGCCACCUGGCGAAUCCCCCCCCCCAAAAAAAAAAAUUGGAUUCGCGAAUCGGGUGCCCCAAUCUCACGAAUCCGGCUGUGGCGAGGGAGAUAUAGAGGAAGGAGGGGAUGUUUCCGGCGGUAAUCUCACCGGAAAUAUUGGGGGAAAGAGGCGGCGGCGUUUUCAGUUUGUGUGAGUGUGUGUCGUCGUGUUGCUGCUUGAGAGAAAGAGAGAUAGAGCAGAGGCGACGGAGAGGAGGAUGGGGGCGAGGGAGAGGGCCGACUGUCGGUUCUUCGUCGGAGGAGGAGCCGCGGCGGCGAAUUUUG